UACGAAGGGGGCUAGCGUUGCUCGGAAUCACUGGGCGUAAAGCGCACGUAGGCGGCUUUCUAAGUCAGGGGUGAAAUCCUGGAGCUCAACUCCAGAACUGCCUUUGAUACUGGAGAGCUCGAGUCCGGAAGAGGUGAGUGGAACUGCGAGUGUAGAGGUGAAAUUCGUAGAUAUUCGCAAGAACACCAGUGGCGAAGGCGGACUCACUGGUCCGGUACUGACGCUGACGGUGCG
rnacentral:rRNA from 1 species